rnacentral:rRNA from 1 species
UACGGGGGGGGCAAGCGUUGUUCGGAAUUACUGGGCGGAAAGGGCUCGUAGGUGGCCAACUAAGUCAGACGUGAAAUCCCUCGGCUUAACCGGGGAACUGCGUCUGAUACUGGAUGGCUUGAGAUCGGGAGAGGGAUGCGGAAUUCCAGGUGUAGCGGUGAAAUGCGUAGAUAUCUGGAGGAACACCGGUGGCGAAGGCGGCAUCCUGGACCGACACUGACGCUGAGGAGCGAAAGCCAGGGGAGCAAACGGG